rnacentral:rRNA from 1 species
AGUGAACGCUGGCGGUAGGCCUAACACAUGCAAGUCGAACGGCAGCACAGUAAGAGCUUGCUCUUACGGGUGGCGAGUGGCGGACGGGUGAGGAAUACAUCGGAAUCUACUUUUUCGUGGGGGAUAACGUAGGGAAACUUACGCUAAUACCGCAUACGACCUACGGGUGAAAGCAGGGGAUCUUCGGACCUUGCGCGAUUGAAUGAGCCGAUGUCGGAUUAGCUAGUUGGCGGGGUAAAGGCCCACCCAGGCGACGAUCCGUAGCUGGUCUGAGAGGAUGAUCAGCCACACUGGAACUGAGACACGGUCCAGACUCCUACGGGAGGCAGCAGUGGGGAAUAUUGGACAAUGGGCGCAAGCCUGAUCCAGCCAUACCGCGUGGGUGAAGAAGGACUUCGGGUUGUAAAGCCCUGUUGUUGGGAAAGAAAAGCAGCAGGUUAAUACCCCGCUGUUCUGGCGGUACCCAAAGAAUAAGCACCGGCUAACUUCGUG